rnacentral:rRNA from 1 species
UACGUAGGGUGCGAGCGUUGUCCGGAAUCAUUGGGCGUAAAGAGCGCGUAGGCGGUCCGAUAAGUCGGCUGUGAAAGUCAGGGGCUCAACCCUUGAAAGCCGGCCGAUACUGUCGGACUAGAGUCCGGAAGAGGCAAGUGGAAUUCCCGGUGUAGCGGUGAAAUGCGCAGAUAUCGGGAGGAACACCAAUGGCGAAGGCAGCUUGCUGGGACGGUACUGACGCUGAGGCGCGAAAGCGUGGGGAGCAAACAGG